rnacentral:rRNA from 1 species
AUAUCAGUCAUGCAUAGCAUAUCAAUAAGCGGAGGAAAAGAAACUAACAAGGAUUCCCUUAGUAACGGCGAGUGAAGCGGGAAGAGCUCAAAUUUGAAAUCUUCAAGGUUCUACCUUGACGAAUUGUAGUUUAAAGAAGUGUUUUCUGUUAGUGGAGUGGCAAAAGUUCUUUGGAAUAGGACAUCAUAGAGGGUGAGAAUCCCGUAUUUGGUCAUCCUUUCUAGCUUUGUGAUACACUUUCAAAGAGUCGGAUUGUUUGGGAAUGCAGUCCAAAAUGGGUGGUAAAUUUCAUCUAAAGCUAAAUAUUGGCGAGAGACCGAUAGCGAACAAGUACCGUGAGGGAAAGAUGAAAAGAACUUUGAAAAGAGAGUUAAACAGUACGUGAAAUUGUCAAAAGGGAAGCGUUUGACACCAGUGUUGUUUUUCCGAAAAUCAAUUACGAAUGUUUUAUUUUUGAGGAGUUAUGACUUCAUCGGCUUGCUUCUCUCUUUACUGAAACUUUCUUAAUGCACUUUUCGGUUAACAAGUCAACAUCAAUUUCCUUUGUUGUAAAAGAGUAUGAGGAAGGUGGCUUUCUUUUCGGAGAAAGUGUUUAUAGCCUUGUACUCUGCAAUCAGGAGAGAUUGAGGUCUGCAGCGUAGAUCCUUCGGGGUUAGAUACAUUUGUGCUAAGUUAUAGCUUUUCAUAGACAACUUGUUGACUAUGAUUAGUCAUUGUAGCUUACUCGCUUACUGCUAUUUUACCUACGCUUAGGAUGUUGAUGUGAUACUGCGAGCA